ACUAGCAUUUUGUUGGGAGGAAAAGAAUUGUAAUUCAGUGAGAAAAGAAUAAAUUGAGAAUUUAAAUUGUAUUGUUUGGUAGACAUGAAUAUAAUGAUGUG